rnacentral:rRNA from 1 species
GAACACCAGUGGCGAAGGCGACUCUCUGGACUGCAACUGACGCUGAGGCACGAAAGCGUGGGUAGCGAACAGGAUUAGAUACCCUGGUAGUCCACGCCGUAAACGAUGAGUGCUAGGUGUUGGUGGGGACACCCAUCAGUGCCGCAGCUAACGCAUUAAGCACUCCGCCUGGGGAGUACGGUCGCAAGACUGAAACUCAAAGGAAUUGACGGGGACCCGCACAAGCAGCGGAGCAUGUGGUUUAAUUCGACGCAACGCGAAGAACCUUACCAGGGCUUGACAUCCCUCUGACNGANUUAGAGAUAGUCCUUUCUCUUCGGAGACAGAGGAGACAGGUGGUGCAUGGUUGUCGUCAGCUCGUGUCGUGAGAUGUUGGGUUAAGUCCCGCAACGAGCGCAACCCUUAUCNUUAGUUGCCANCAUUAAGNUGGGCACUCUAGNGAGACUGCCGGUGACAAACCGGAGGAAGGUGGGAUGACGUCAAAUCAUCAUGCCCCUUAUGUCUUGGGCUACACACGUGCUACAAUGGUCGGUACAACGGGAAGCNAGACNGCGANGUGGAGCNAAUCCCAAUAAACCGAUCCCAGUUCGGAUUGUAGGCUGCAACUCGCCUACAUGAAGUCG